ensembl:lncRNA
GCCAAAAGUCGGUGGGCUGAGUGAAGGGUUUGGGGCCGCUUGUGGCCAUGCGGGCACCCCCUCGUUUCCCAGGGCCAAGGGAUUCGUUAGCAGAAAACGGCCCUGCAGGAGCUGCCCUGGGCCUGAUAGACAAGAGACCGUGCGGCCAGGCUGGCUUUCGAAUUGGCACUGCGGAGGGGCCAGCACUUUUAUCUGGACGGUCACGACUUCUGAUGUGCCUGUCUGCCUUUUUGCUCCCCUAGAUAUGGUUUCAAAACCGAAGAGCUCAGCACCACCAGCAGGGCCCGAGCGGGCCUGGCAUGGCCAGGCCCAAGGGCCAGGCAGUGCAGCAGCCAUGACUACUCCUGCUCCAGAGGACCGAAGGGCCCACCCGCUGUCCAGAGCAUCUCUCCUCCCCUUCGCCCCUCCCCCGCCACAGGAGAGCAUACCACCCUUGGCGGCCGAAGCUGCUCCUUUUGGGGCCCCCACAUUCUGUGUGCACGGGACUGCCUCUGGGGUCUCUGUGGGCCAUCCGUUGAUGAUCUUCAUAGUCCAGCCCAGCCCAGUGGCUCUCCCGCCAUGCGGGAAGCCACCACCUCUUGCCCAGGUAGCAGUUCCCUGGGCUGCAUGCUCCCCUGCCAUCUUGGCCCCCCGGAAGCCUGGACAAGGGGCCAUCAUGCCUCCUGGACAGCCGGAGGCACACAUCCCGCGCUGGCCAGAGUCAUCCUACAGUGAAGGCACGGCCCCUCAGCUAGAGCCACAGACCCAGCCCCGCAGCCUUCCAAGCCCGACAAGCCUCCUAGACGAGCUCAUGGCCGACACGCGCAUUCCGACUUUGCCAGGACCUUUCCCUAGGGCCGCUGCUGACCAUGGGGUGGACCCUGCCCUCCCAGGCGCACCCAGCCUCCUAGACAAGCUCUUGGCGGCAAUGAGCAUCCCCGCAUCGCUGGGGCCUUCCCCGGGGGCCUCUGCAGUCACAGGGCAACAACAAGCUCUCGCUGGCACACCCAGCCUCUUAGAGCACUGUGGCUUUGCCGCCUUCAGUGGCUUCCUCUCCCCAGGGGCCUAGUGCCUUCUGCCACCAGUAUCCAAGCCACCCCAGGGCCUUCCCUCGGGCCCUGUGCUGAUGAACGGGUACAACUCGCCCUCCCAGGCUCACCGAGACUCCACACGAGUUCCUGGCUUCCCCGGGCAUCCCGGGCACACUGGGUGCUUUUCUGGGGUCCUUUUCAGUCAUCACAGGGGCCCACCCAGCCUUCCCUGGAUCACCCAGCUUCCUAGAGGAAAGCUUGGCUGCCACGGCCACGCGGGACACACCCUGGUCUUCUCCUGGGGCCCCUGCAGGGGACGAGGGAGUUGAGGCCAUCCUAGAAGCAUGCCUCAGUCAGGAGGAUUACCGGGCCCUCCUUGACAUGCUGCCAGGCUCCCCAGGUCCUCGGGCUUAGAGGGAGAGGAAGGAGGGCACCUUCUUCCCCUGUCCACGUUCAGGUCUCCUUGCCUGCGAUGCUUGGGGGAAGGGGAGGGGGCGGUUUUAUGUGUGGGAAGAGGAGAGAAUACCGACAGGAUGUCUACCAACAAUUCUGGGGACAAACCCGAGAGCUGGAUCUUUGGGAAGCUGGGCCGCACCCCCAAACAGGAACAUCCUACUUGAAGCCUCAAGUAAUCCCUGCAUGGCAGUGACUGAGAGGGUGCCACAGAGGGAACAUUCCAUGGACACAAGACAGAAACCCCGUGCCCCGCACAGGUGCCUGCUCUGGGCGGGUGUCCGGAGGUCAGAGUCUCUGAGCCAGCAAGAGGGACCUGGCCUCACAACCGCUUUCUCUACCAGACUCGACCAUGUCCACGUGUACACACAUGCCCGGCAUACCAGCAAAGGCCAGUCCCUUCCACGUCUCUCUCUGACCCCUCCUCCCAGUAUGGGGUGACUGAGCUCGCCCUGCCAUCAGCAUCCUCCUGUCACCCACAGACAUACAGACGUUGUUUACCUGCAAACCCGUUCCUGAAUUCAUUGACCCAAUGGUUUCGAAGUCCAUACGGACCCCUGCCUGUUCCCAUGUGAACCCCCGUGGUGGGUUUAGAAACCUGGGUGUCCAAAGAAUACACUGCCCAAGACGCUUGGGGGUGUGCUGAUGUGGCUCAUCCGUUUCUCUUCAACUCACUCUUUUCGCCCUGUUCACAGGGAAAAGAGAAGUGUCUCUCAUCGUCCAUCCCCCAUGUUGCUUCGUUGGAUUAGUGGAACCUACUUCCCAACAGUAGGGGGUACACUGUCCCCUUUGGCAGGUAUCUCCAGGACACUUGGGCUGGGGGGUUGCCUGGGGAGGUGCGAGCCUCAGGCUCCACACUAGAAAAGUCCCAAAUGGCAUGAGCUGCCGGUCCAGAUGUUGGCCCUUCAGUUCUCUGGUCUGAGCCUUGGGCUCCAGGUAACUCAAAGCCCUCGGGGGUGGUGCUCUGGGAUUUCUGCAGUGAAAGGACACCAAGAGAGCAUAGAGGAGUUGGGGAGGGGCGGUGGGAAAUGGAGGUGAGGACAGGGAGGGAUCUAGGUGGAGGCACUGGAGAGAGUUUCCAGUGUCCAGGAAUGCCUUGGAGGAGCCAGCAGGGGGCAAUCGAGACCCAGGGACCUGUGGAAUGUGAAAAGUUGGGAAACCCCAGAGUGGUUUGGAAGGCAAGGCAGGCUGGGAAAGGGGGCGUGGGCGGCCACUUCAAAGGGACCUAGGGGCGUUCCCGGGCAGUUAGCUCUCUUGGCACUGCUGAGGGCCCCUGAUUGAUCCACCCGGGGUUGAUCCCACCCCCCCCCCCGCUGCGUGGGAGGGCCACAAACCAAAGCCCCCGAACUGCCUGUCCACCCCGAUGGGGACUUUGGCGGUCUGGGGCAUGGAAGCCCACUCGCUCCACGGGACUCUGUCCAGGGUGUCUGCCUGCAACGAGGCCAGGGGCAUCCCCUCCGUCUGUGCACCCAAACCCUGUUUACUUAAAUAGGGGCGGAGCCGCCUCCCACUCUCCAAAGUCCUGAGCUGCUGGGUCCCCGCCCACUAGGCCAGCAGUCUGCAGCGUCCAUGUGGCUCUCCCACCAUGGCUUCGUGCAGCUCCUCCAGCACCUCAAGCGAUAUGUUUGUGCUCGGUCCCUGGGAUCGGAUCACAUCUCUGGGGAUUUGCAGAUGACACGGCCCAGGGUGCUCAGAAAACGUGUCCACCCACCACCAAGAAUGGCGGGAACAGAUCGGCCGGGCCCAUGGUUCCCAGGCGUCAGCUGUGCCCAAAAGAGGCAUCGUUCGUUCAUCUUGCUCCUUUGGCACACAUAUGGCUUCUCCGUUCUCUUUUCUGGGAAGAUGGUGUUGUGUCAGGGGGCGGGGUGCGGGGUGCGGGGGGCUGGGGUUGGGGGUCGGGCGGGGUUGCUGUGCUGGGAUGAGGCCCUUUAUCCUCACAUCUUCCUUUGGGAGUGGGAGUCGGGGAGCGCUGUGGCUUUGCUGCCUUCAGUGGCUUCCUCUCCCCAGGGGCCUAGUGCCUUCUGCCUUCAGUCAGGCGUUGCGGGUUUAGGCUUCACUUCGGCUUCCUUCCCUUUCCUUUCCUUUUCCACUAGUGACGUCAAACAUGGCCCUGGCUCAUGUCAGCCCCAGGAAGCCAGGCUCCCUCCCACUGGCAUCAUCAUGGAGGGAAAUCUGGGAGCAGCCACAUUAAGACAUCUCCCUGGCAUUUCCCUCAGACGGGUGGAAACAUGUGGCGGGAUAGUGUGGUGGUCUUUGGCCCUGUCGCCACAGGAUCUCCAAGGAGGAGGCUCAUUCUGAAGCUCAGCCAGAAGGACACCCUGCAAGCGAUGUUUCAACAGAACCCCUCCUCUGGGAUAGCGAGCAGAGAAUGCCUGGCCUGAGACCUUGGCAUUGCCAAAAGCAGAGUUCAGGUCUGGUUCCAAAACCAGCGUAGAAGACAGUUAAAGCAGAGCCAAUCGCCGUCUGAAUAUGUGAACCAAGAAGGGGAAGGGGGCCAACGUCCACAACCACGCCACCGACGGCCCCUCCUCGACCUCGGUCUUCCUCUCCAGGAAACUCAGCAAGAGAGGCCUGGAGAAAGUGGACAGUCAUUCUCUCCUUCUCAAACAAGGUACCUUGUGCAAACCUUCACGAGGGAUCUCUUCCAGGGGAUUACCAACCGGAAAGAACUGGCUCGUCAUAUGGGAAUCCCAGAAACUCGAAUCCAGAUAUGGUUUCAAAACUGAAGAGCUUGGAACCCACAGCAGAGACAAAGCGGGCCCGGCAAUGGCUGGGCCCAAGGGCCAAGCAGCACAGCAGCCACGACUACUCCUGCUCCAGAGGACCGAAGGGCCCCACCCGCUGUUCAGAGCUCCUCUUCCCACUAUUAACCCUUCCCGCCAGAGGAGAGCAUUCCACAAUUGGAAGAGGCAAAAUUGAGACCCAGGGAUCCAGUGGUGAGGUCCCAGGGAAUCGCAAAGAAACCAAGGAACCACAGCGCCACCUACACAGCCAUCCGUAGCAAUGGAUUCUUUGGCCAGCCAGGUUUCUAACCCCAACCACGGGGUUUCACGGGAGAAAAGUCAGGGGUCUGUAUGUACUUCAAAACGGCCGGGUUGACGAAUUCCAGAUCGGGUUUGCAAGUUGAUGAUGUCUGUAUUCUUAGCUCUUGGUGGAUGCCUAGAUGUCUCCCGGUUGGUUGAGGGCCCCAGUGUCCCAGCGCCACCCACCAGCAGCACCGUGGUCAUUCUGCAGCGACCCAAGGGUCGGUGAGUGAAUGGGUGCCCCCGCUAGGCUGCACCCAUGCGCCCUCCUUCUCUUUCUGCUAAGACACAUGGUUCCUCUGAGCUCGACCAGGCUGGCUUGAGAUGCUGAGAGGCGACGGGAGGGAGGAAGGGCCGGACUGCCGGCUGAGGGCUUCAGCAGGGAGGGGGUGCUGGCAACAAAGAGCCCUCCUCUCCCUGCCCCCGCUGGAUGUGCUCGAGAAGCUAGGGGGCUGACGUGAGGCCAGCAGCGAUGUGGAGCCUGUGCGCCUGGCAAGCCCGCCCGGGGCUCCUUCUUCCUGGGGCCCGGGCGCGCCAGGACCCCUUGGUCUGGCAGAAUGGCGCAGGGCUGCUGACAUCUGGUGAGACAGGGUUCCCCUCCUGCACGCCAGGGCGAGACAGUAGCAAGCGGAAGGGCAAGGGUGUGAGCAGCCAGGCCGCGUCACCGGAGGGCCGCUGUGGCGGGGAGGUGUUCCACACUGACAGGCACCCUGGCGAGACCGGCAAGACCCAGGCUCCGGUGGGCCGGACCCUUGGCCAGGGCGUGGCAGGAAGAAACCUUCAGCGGGAGAGGCGGGCACACCCUGGCUACAUCCCAGUGGGAAGUUAAAUGAGCAUGGGAGCCCGGGACAAGAGGCCAGAGUCCUUGCUGGGGAAAGAGCAAAGGGAAGGGAGUCAAGCCAUGUCUGUGCCAGAACGGGCCUUUCCAGCCUGGACCCGGGCCACUGCGGCGGACGUGUGGGGGUGGUGGGAGACGAGCUGGGAGCCACGGGAGAGCCCCAGCCCGCUGCUGCAGGAGAGCCCAGAGGAGACUCCCCGCAAGAGGCGCGGGAGGUCUGCCAGGGCCCCGGCGGUGGGCUGGGCUCUGCCUCCAGCCGGCGCCUCGGAGGAGUGCAGGGGGCCCCAUGGGUCUCCCAGGUGCCUGCGCCCCAGCUCUGGGGAGACCCUGCCAAAGAGACGGAGAAGGUGUGCCAGAGGCCCAUCGGCAGCAGCGAGCGAGGCGGCAGCGGUGGCGGGCUGGGCCCCUCCUCCCACCGGCCCUUCGGAGAGGGGCGAGGAGACCAGGAGCUGGGGGCGUCGGGGGGGGACUCGCUAGGUUCAGGUCCCCAAUCCAGGGAACCUUCUCCCAAAGAGACG